rnacentral:rRNA from 1 species
CCUACGGGAGGCUGCAGUAAGGAAUAUUGGGCAAUGGAGGCAACUCUGACCCAGCCAUGCCGCGUGAAGGAUGACGGCCCUAUGGGUUGUAAACUUCUUUUAUACGGGAAUAAACCCGGGUACGUGUACCCGGCUGAAUGUACCGUAAGAAUAAGGAUCGGCUAACUCCGUUCCAGCAGCCGCGGUAAUACGGAGGAUCCAAGCUUUAUCCGGUUUCAUUGGGUUUUAGGGGUGCGUGUAAGGCAUUGUUGAAAUCCUACAGCUUAACUGUAGAACUGCCGUUGAUACUGCAAGUCGUGAGUACAUUUGAUGUGGGCGGAAUGUGUCAUGUAGCGGUGAAAUGCUUAGAUAUGACACGGAACACCAAUUGCGAAGGCAGCUCACAAAACUGUAACUGACGCUGAGGCACGACAGCGUGGGGAUCAAACAGGAUUAGAUACCCUAGUAGUC